UUUAAUCGGUGAUGUGACUGGCUUUGCUUUAUUAUUAUCACAGAAGAAAAUCCAGAAAAUGUGAAAGCUGCAAAUCCGGGAUCCACAGCUGUUCUGUUCCUCCUUAGUCCACAGCUACACGCCUGACGUACCUCAGCGCUGAUGAGUUCUGUAGGAUUUGAGGAAGAACCGAUCAGGCUGCUCUGAUGAAUUCUCUGUUUUGUUUUUUUACAUUUCUUCCCAGGUUACUCUGAGGACGGUGGAGCAAAGAAAGGAGAGGUCAUUCCAGAGCACGAGUUUGCCGCCGGACCCAUUUGUCUGGACGACGAGAACGAGUUUCCUCCUAUCAAUUGGUGCCGUAACGGGACUGGAGGCGUCCAGGUGAGGCGCUCCUGAGCAGGCAGAAGAACAGAAGGACAAGCAGACGCCAGCAAGCAAGUGAUGAACCACAACAAACAUUUCAGGGUGCCAAGAUAUUUGUCAUUCACAGGAGCAGGACAAAAACUAACUUCCAUUAACGUUCAAGCUGAUGUGGGGACAGAAAACACUGAAAGGAGUGGGUUCAGACAGAACACCUGUGCUAAAGGUACAUCCAGCAGCUGUAAACUUCCUCUCAGCUCAUCCUGGAGUUUCAAAAUAAAGUUGUUGUUG